CGGUCUGUUAAGUCAGAUGUGAAAUCCCCGGGCUUAACCUGGGAACUGCAUUUGAAACUGGCAGGCUUGAGUCUCGUAGAGGGGGGUAGAAUUCCAGGUGUAGCGGUGAAAUGCGUAGAGAUCUGGAGGAAUACCGGUGGCGAAGGCGGCCCCCUGGACGAAGACUGACGCUCAGGUGCGAAAGCGUGGGGAGCAAACAGGAUUAGAUACCCUGGUAGUCCACGCCGUAAACGAUGUCGACUUGGAGGU
rnacentral:rRNA from 1 species